AGAGUUUGAUCAUGGCUCAGGAUGAACGCUGGCGGCGUGCUUAACACAUGCAAGUCGAACGGGGUUUAAGAAGGAAGCUUGCUUUCAUUUAAACCUAGUGGCGGACGGGUGAGUAACGCGUGAGGAACCUGCCCUUCAGUGGGGAACAACAACUAGAAAUGGUUGCUAAUACCGCAUAAUGUCGGAGAGCCGCAUGACUUUCCGACCAAAGGAUUUAUUCGCUGAAGGAUGGCCUCGCGUCCGAUUAGAUAGUUGGUGAGGUAACGGCCCCACCAAGUCUACGAUCGGUAGCCGAACUGAGAGGUUGAUCGGCCACAUUGGGACUGAGACACGGCCCAGACUCCUACGGGAGGCAGCAGUGGGGAAUAUUGGGCAAUGGGCGAAAAGCCUGACCCAGCAACGCCGCGUGAAGGAUGACGGUCUUCGGAUUGUAAACUUCUUUAAUUGGGGAAGAACAAAAUGACCUACCCAAAGAAUAAGUCACGGCUAACUACGUGCCAGCCGCCGC
rnacentral:rRNA from 1 species